rnacentral:lncRNA from 1 species
UACAUUUUAGCUGAGAUGCAAUUCUCCUGGCCUUCGAGGGACAGCAUCUCCUUUUUGUAGGUGUCUGAGCUAGACAUCUCUUCCCUGAGGGUUUGGAACCCCCACCUCUCCCUGGCUGCCUCUGGUUGACAUAGAAAUACACGUGGUGCCAAGUCUCUGAAGGUUCUGCACUGGUGCCAGGAGCACAUUGCAGUGGUACUGGGCUGUGAGGAGGGAGCAUUCUGCCGAGCUGGCCGGGAGGAGCUAGCAUGAGGACUGUGUCCUGGCCAGGUACCUUGGUUGAGCCGUUUGACCCUAUGGGGGAGUCCCUCCCAACACCGCUUUUUGGAGUCAGGUUCAAGCUCAGAGGUCCCAGAUUCAAUUGAGUGAUGCUUCCGGGCCAUUGGGAGAGACCAUCCCCACUGGGCAGAAAGGCCUCCAGCAGCCAGGAGCUGGCAUGGAGCGAGCCCAUUUUAUAUCCUGCUUGACCUGUGACCUUAGGAGGGUCAACCCUCUGUGCCUCAGAGUCACCCUGCUGUGAAAGGGGGUGGUAACUUACACUCCCCACACUUCAUACCUAUUCACAUCCAUUCCUAUGACAAGAGUCCCCUGGAAGGUAGAAGUUUAGCACCCCCAGCGUUACUGGGGAGACUGUCUCUCUUGCUGGAGUGGGUUUCAUCGCCUCCAUGUGGACAUCAGCAUGUUAGCUUCUGUGAGACAUGUGGCUGAACUAAACAGGAAGGACAGGAUCAGAGAAAGAUAGGCUAGGCCUUCCUGGCUUUCAAAUCCCCACAGGUAGCUCCAGGAAUCCCAGAUCCUGCCUCACUUCUGACAGGCCACUGCCAUAUCUAGACAUCCCCUGGAAAGGAGAGUCAUCAUUGGCUCACCCCCACACUCCCUCAGUGUUCAAACCCCUUUUGCUAACACUUGAGGGAUGGAUGGGGCUAACAGCCACCACCUGCCUGGCUCCCCCCACCCCCACCCCUCCAAAUGUCACAGAACCUAGUCAUCCAGGCCUCAGCUCUUUGCUCCUUGAGUUGAGGUUUCUCCAGGCCUGGGCGUUGCUGGUGACACCCUUCUACAGGGUUUAAGCCCCUGAUCCCCCUUUCCAUAUUUGACCACAGGUCUCCCGUGGAAGGAGGUAGAGUCCUUUGGGUUGUGAUGGGCUGUGUUGCGAGUCACACUCGGGCUGGUUCUGGGUUGGGAACUUUGCUGGCCCACGCUUUCUUGAAUUUGUAUUUGGUUUCUCGAGAUCCCAGGAAGAAGAAUCCACCUGCUUGCAAGGCCUGGGCCUGGAGUCUCAGAGCCCCAAGCUGUGCGGGUCCACGAGACUCAGCUCUUCCUAGAUCAACUGCCUUGGCUUCUUCAUGUGCAAACGCAAACGCAAAACUGCCAGAGAAGACAGUAGACGCUAUCCCUCCUGAAGCUCCCAAGGGAGCCCCUGCCUGCCAGUGCCACCAGAUGACAGUCCACCAGGGAGGAUCUUCCUCAGAUCUCCGUCCUCAUCAGUCACCUGCUGGGCAGCUGCCUCUUAAAUUCCUGUCUGCAGUCCAGACAGUCGCCAAUAUGCACACUUUACCCCAGCAGCCAAGCGGCUGUAGCUGCACCAGACUCAGAACCAACAGAGGGACCCAGGGGAGGGCAUCCGGUGUCAGGCUUCUGUUUUUAUUUGUAAAGGUAAUGACUUCUUAUAAACUCACUUUUUCAGAUGACUGGCUAGUUCUUUUUGUCGUUUGUUAUUAUUUUUUUUUUCUUUCCUGGGCUGCCGUUUGGAAUUGUACAUUGUAAAAUAUCCAAAGAUGCUGAGUACUGUAUGAUCAAGCACUUGAAACAAAUGGUUGGGGGGAGGGAAUGUGGGGGGCGGCUGUGGGGUUUUUUUAUUAUUAUUAUUUUGUUUUGUUUAUGUUCCUGACUUCCCUGUCUGUCUGUGGGAGACCUUUGGAAUUUUUUCUAUUUAUAAAACUUUUUAUGUGACGCCUCUAUGUAAAAAUGACAC